UUGACCUCAAAUCAGGUAGGACUACCCGCUGAACUUAAGCAUAUCAUUAAGCGGAGGAAAAGAAACUAACAAGGAUUCCCCUAGUAACUGCGAGUGAAGAGGGAAGAGCUCAAAUUUAAAAUCUGGCAGCUCCGCUGUCCGAGUUGUAAUCUGUAGAAGCAUUUUCUGCAUUGGACCGUGUACAAGUCUCUUGGAACAGAGUGUCAUAGAGGGUGAGAAUCCCGUCCAUGACACGGACUACCAAUGCUCUGUGAUAUGCUCUCAAAGAGUCGAGUUGCUUGGGAAUGCAGCUCAAAAUGGGUGGUAAAUUCCAUCUAAAGCUAAAUACAGGCAAGAGACCGAUAGCGAACAAGUACCGUGAGGGAAAGAUGAAAAGCACUUUGGAAAGAGAGUUAAACAGUAUGUGAAAUUGUUGAAAGGGAAACACUUGAAGUCAGUCACAUCCUGCAGGACUCAGCCUUGCCUUGUUAGGCCUGGUGUAUUUCCUGCAGGAUGGGUCAACAUCAAUCUUGGUCAGUGGAUAAAGGAGGAGGGAAUGUGGCACCCUUGCGGGUGUGUUAUAGCCCUCCUUCAUAUGCACUGACUGGGAUUGAGGACUGCAGCAUGUCCUUUUGGACAUGCUUAGGAUGUUGACAAAAUGGCUUUAAGUGACCCGUCUUGAAACACGGACCA
rnacentral:rRNA from 1 species